ACGGUUUCUGGGUCGUGUUGGAACAAACCUAGUACAUUUUGUGUCAUUCCAGUACAUUUACAAAAUUCCAAUAUUCCAGUACAUUUCCAAAAAUUUCUCUGGCAACACUGUUAACGUGACGAGUGACGAUGACGAUUAACAUGACAUUGACGAAUGACGCGACGCCAUCUCCGAUUUCCGCCAUGGCCAUCUCAUUCAUCUCCAUCAUCAUCCAUGACAUGUUUGGAUUGAUGUUUGGGCGUUUGGGUUUGUUUCACAGUACAUUUCUGUCAUGUAAUGUGGUUUGUUUGUCUGUUUUUGUUUGUCCCCUUUUGUCCAUGAAGCGUUUUAAAAUGCAUUUUGGAUAUUGGUGCUGCUAAGUGAAGUUAUAUAAUGUUGGUUUUAAGGUAAACACAUGCAGAAGAGUAAAUUUUUACAACUGCAGGCACAUUCUCUCCAAAAUAUGAUUCCUUAAUCAAACGUCUGAAUGUAUAUUUGACCACGUAAAUGCCGGCGUUAAGAGCAGAAGCAGUGCCAUCACCGUGUCUGGUUACAUAUAAUUGGAUUUUUGGUUAUUUUGGAGAACUGACAAACACCUCAUGAUUGCCAAAAGCAUUUCUGCCGAAGAUGACAUUUUAAGUUUGGUGUUUUUUAUCCGAUCGACACUGAUGAAUAGAAAUAGCGUUUAAAAAAAGAGACGGCGAAUAAUAUUCAAAAUAUUGAUCUAAUGUAUAAAUGUAGUAAUGCAGUUCCUAAAGUAGUCUUAAUAUUAAAUUUUGUUUGUUGUGUA